rnacentral:rRNA from 1 species
UGUAAGCGUAUACCAAAGUUGUUGCAGUUAAAACGCUCGUAGUCGGACUUUGGCAGUUCCGGAUGUGUGCACGUCGUGUGCGCACUUCGCGGGGAUUGCUUUUGUGGUCUUGCGUAGGAUGAGGCACUUUUAUUAGUGAACGUCCUCACGCAACCACUUUUUACUGUGAGAAAAUCAGAGUGCUCAAAGCAGGCAUUUGCCGUGAAUGUAUUAGCAUGGAAUAAUAGAAUAGGACUUGGUUCUAUUUUGUUGGUUUGUUGGGACUGAGUAGUGAUUAAGAGGGACAGUUGGGGGCAUUUGUAUUUCGGUGCUAGAGGUGAAAUUCUUAGAUUACCGAAAGACAAACUGCUGCGAAAGCGUCUGCCAAGGAUGUUUUCAUUGA